GCACUGCUAGGGAGUCCCACAAUAGGACGAAACGGCCGUCCAGUGC
rnacentral:hammerhead_ribozyme from 1 species